UAUAAACCUACUCGUCAGAGCUACAAAUCUAAUAACAGUUUUUAUGCUAAGAUUCUGCACGCAUGUAUCAGCGUAUACGGAAUACUGAUUAAAAAUCUUUUUAUGAAUGCGCUUUCUACAGCAACAGUAUUGGUGACAGGAUGUUCAUGUAAUGGCCACCGCCCCCCCAGCUGACCCUUCUCCUGUCACUGAGCAAAAGCCGAGCUGUAAUUGCCCAGAUUUAUCUACCAUACAAAAAGUAGACAUCGAUAAAGACGGUACCUACAAAUACGUCGCCUUCACAGUCUGCGACCCCAAGGUUCGAACAGGAGCAAUUCCUGUUGUCAUCGUCAGAGGAUAUAAAAGGUUCAUAGACUUUGAGGAGAUUAUAGAAGAGGUACAAGACGUACUACAACCCUUAAUCUGUGAACCAUUUAUGGGAGGACGCAUAACUCACAAUUCAGUCAACAAUACGAUCCACAUCUUCGGCACCGCUUUAGGCGUUGACAGGGGCAAGCCCGAUCGUGAGUUUAUCGCCAAGCUAGUCCGAGAACAAUACCCAGGUUUCACAGUUACAACUGGCGAAAAGGACAUCGUUAGCCCGCCACCAUCGCCUUCUGGCACAACUGAAGCUCCUGCCACACCUGCAACUGCUACACCCUAACAGGAGAAAAGAUAGAAAGGUUCAAUAGCAACAUACUUUUCUGUAUUUACACAGACUAGAUGCAUUCCGUGCAAACUGACAACAAAGUCUAAGAAAACGUUAUCUCUUGCGGUCGACUUGAAAUCUAGUGUCAAUCUUGGUGAAGAUCUCUGUUAUGGAGACUACUGCAAAACCGAUAAAAUGUACCUGUCACGAACUGGAAUCCAUACCUAGAGUAGACAUUGACUCUGACGGUGUCUUCAAGUAUGUCCUCGUGAAAGUCCAUGCGGAUCGUAACGGCGUAAAAUUGCCCGCUUGCAUGCCUUCUAUCGCGCUUGUCAGGGGAUACAAACGAUGCAACAACCACACGGAAAUUUUUAAUGAGCUUAAAGCAAAAAUGAAACCACUGGUCUGUGUGUCUCUUGGUGGGGGCAAAAUUAAACAUGAGCCGGGUUUGAAGAGGAUCCACAUCUACGGCAAGUCAGAAGGCCUGGGCAAGGCCGAUCAUAUAAUCACAGCAAAGGUCAUCCAAGGGACAUUAGCAUACCAUAAAUACACAAUCACGGCUGGUGAUGAAGGCUAAAAAUGUAUGGACUCGUUGUUAUUUCGUUAAUUA